rnacentral:tRNA from 1 species
GUGGUGGCUCAGUGGUAGAGCACUUGCCUAGCAUGUGGAAGGCACUGGAUUCGAUCCUCAGCACCACG